rnacentral:rRNA from 1 species
UACAGAGGGUGCGAGCGUUAAUCGGAAUUACUGGGCGUAAAGCGUGCGUAGACGGUUAUUUAAGUCGGGUGUGAAAGCCCCGGGCUCAACCUGGGAAUUGCAUUCGAGACUGAAUAGCUAGGGUACGGUAGAGGGAAGUGGAAUUUCCGGUGUAGCGGUGAAAUGCGUAGAUAUCGGAAGGAACGCCCGUGGCGAAAGCGAGGUCCUGGACGUCUACUGACGCUGAGACGCGAAAGCUAGGGUAGCGAACGGG